rnacentral:lncRNA from 1 species
UUCCGGAGUAAAAUACAUGAAAUUUUUUUGUUCUCUGUACAUGUAGUGUAAAUUAGCAAAAUAACUUUAUACUUUAAUAUAAAGACCAACUUUUUUUUGCUAAUGUCAAGUUUCAAUCCAAGUACCUCUAGGUUACAAAAUGACUCAUCAACCAAUGGACUAUCUAGGAAACAGGCAAACAUAAAUAUCAAAUAAAAGUUAAUAGACCGGUGCAAAUAUACGGGUCUGUAUACGCAACAACAAUUAUCUUUCACGGACAAUUUUUUUAUAUAAAAA